CUGCUCACUUUGGCAGCCCAUAUACUAAAAUUGGAAUGAUACAGAGGUAAGCAUGGCCCCUGUGCAAGGAUGACAGGCAAAUUCAUGAAGCAUUCCACAUUUUU
ensembl:snRNA U6 U6 spliceosomal RNA